rnacentral:lncRNA from 1 species
GGCGGACAUUCUACGCUUGAGGGAUAUCUCCAGCGGGGCAGAGUUUCAGGCUUCCGACAGCACCACGGCGGGGGGUUUUCGGGCUUCCGACGUCUGAGCGACGACAAGGAAGGCGGAAGGUCAGAGUCUCCAUGCAUCGGUUUGUUUCUUUUAUUUUUUUUCCUUUCCUGAGUCACGACACAUGUGGCAACUGGGACUGGCAAUAGUGUGGUCAAAGAAAUAAUGCUGCAUUAUUUUUUUUUUAUAAAAAUAAGGUUCAACUUGAAUCGUGCUAUGGAUUCCCUUCACUUUUAACAGUACCUUUUGUAACAAUCAUGCUAAAUCUUUACUAUUAUAGAUGGAGGCCACUUAUCCCUACUUCAGCAUACUACACACCUUUUGUUCAGGUUCAAAGUUUGGCUGGGUUACUCAGAUUAAUGUUCUUUUUCU